CACGUAGGGCGCAAGCGUUGUCCGGAAUUAUUGGGCGUAAAGAGCUCGUAGGCGGUCUGUUGCGUCCGCUGUGAAAACUCGGGGCUCAACCUCGAGACGCCGGUGGAAACCAUCAGACUAGAGUCCGGAAGAGGAGAGUGGAAUUCCUGGUGUAGCGGUGAAAUGCGCAGAUAUCAGGAAGAACACCCGUGGCUAAGGCGGCUCUCUAGUACGGUACUGACGCUGAGACGCGAAAGCGUGGGGAGCGAACAGG
rnacentral:rRNA from 1 species